rnacentral:rRNA from 1 species
UACGUAGGGUGCGAGCGUUGUCCGGAAUUAUUUGGGCGUAAAGGGCUCGUAGGCGGUUUGUCACGUCAGGAGUGAAAACUCGGGGCUCAACCCCCGAGCCUGCUUCUGAUACGGGCAGACUAGAGGUAUGCAGGGGGAGAACGGAAUUCCUGGUGUAGCGGUGAAAUGCGCAGAUAUCAGGAGGAACACCGGUGGCGAAAGCGGGUCUCUGGGCAUUACCUGACGCUGAGGAGCGAAAGUGUGGGGAGCGAACAGG